rnacentral:rRNA from 1 species
AUUCUAGAGCUAAUACAUGCUGUAAAGCCCGACUUUUUGGAAGGGCCGUAUUUAUUAGAUAACAGACCAAUAUUCCUCGUGUCUAUUGUGGUGAAUCAUAGUAACUAAUCGGAUCGCAUGGGCUAGUCCCGCGACAAACCAUUCAAGUUUCUGCCCCAUCAGCUUUCGAUGGUAGUGUAUUGGACUACCAUGGCUUUUACGGGUAACGGAGGAUUAGGGUUCGAUUCCGGAGAGGGAGCCUGAGAAACGGCUACCACAUCUAAGGAAGGCAGCAGGCGCGUAAAUUACCCAAUUCUAAUUCAGGGAGGUAGUG